CGCGGCCUAUCAGCUUGUUGGUGAGGUAAUGGCUCACCAAGGCGACGACGGGUAGCCGGCCUGAGAGGGCGACCGGCCACACUGGGACUGAGACGCGGCCCAGACUCCUACGGGAGGCAGCAGUGGGGAAUAUUGCACAAUGGGCGAAAGCCUGAUGCAGCGACGCCGCGUGAGGGAUGACGGCCUUCGGGUCGUAAACCUCUUUCAGCAGGGAAGAAGCGAAAGUGACGGUACCUGCAGAAGAAGCGCCGGCUAACUACGUGCCAGCAGCCGCGGUAAUACGUAGGGCGCAAGCGUUGUCCGGAAUUAUUGGGCGUAAAGAGCUCGUAGGCGGUCUGUCGCGUCGGAUGUGAAAGCCCGGGGCUUAACCCCGGGUCUGCAUUCGAUACGGGCAGACUAGAGUGUGGUAGGGGAGAUCGGAAUUCCUGGUGUAGCGGUGAAAUGCGCAGAUAUCAGGAGGAACACCGGUGGCGAAGGCGGAUCUCUGGGCCAUUACUGACGCUGAGGAGCGAAAGCGUGGGGAGCGAACAGGAUUAGAUACCCUGGUAGUCCACGCCGUAAACGGUGGGAGCUAGGUGUUGGCGACAUUCCACGUCGUCGGUGCCGCAGCUAACGCAUUAAGUUCCCCGCCUGGGGAGUACGG
rnacentral:rRNA from 1 species